AACGCUAGCUACAGGCUUAACACAUGCAAGUCGAGGGGCAGCAUGGUCUUAGCUUGCUAAGGCCGAUGGCGACCGGCGCACGGGUGAGUAACACGUAUCCAACCUGCCGUCUACUCUUGGACAGCCUUCUGAAAGGAAGAUUAAUACAAGAUGGCAUCAUGAGUCCGCAUGUUCACAUGAUUAAAGGUAUUCCGGUAGACGAUGGGGAUGCGUUCCAUUAGAUAGUAGGCGGGGUAACGGCCCACCUAGUCUUCGAUGGAUAGGGGUUCUGAGAGGAAGGUCCCCCACAUUGGAACUGAGACACGGUCCAAACUCCUACGGGAGGCAGCAGUGAGGAAUAUUGGUCAAUGGGCGAGAGCCUGAACCAGCCAAGUAGCGUGAAGGAUGACUGCCCUAUGGGUUGUAAACUUCUUUUAUAAAGGAAUAAAGUCGGGUAUGGAUACCCGUUUGCAUGUACUUUAUGAAUAAGGAUCGGCUAACUCCGUGCCAGCAGCCGCGGUAAUACGGAGGAUCCGAGCGUUAUCCGGAUUUAUUGGGUUUAAAGGGAGCGUAGAUGGAUGUUUAAGUCGGUUGUGAAAGUUUGCGGCUCAACCGUAAAAUUGCAGUUGAUACUGGAUAUCUUGAGUGCAGUUGAGGCAGGCGGAAUUCGUGGUGUAGCGGUGAAAUGCUUAGAUAUCACGAAGAACUCCGAUUG
rnacentral:rRNA from 1 species